rnacentral:pre_miRNA from 1 species
AGGAGGAACAGCCCCAGUGGCGGGGCUAGCUCUGGAGCCCUGUAUCAGCUCCUGCAGUAACUCCGGGGCUCUCGAUCUGCAGGGCCUGGAGGCUCCGGGGCGGG